UACGUAGGGUGCGAGCGUUAAUCGGAAUUACUGGGCGUAAAGCGUGCGCAGGCGGUUUUGUAAGACCGAUGUGAAAUCCCCGGGCUCAACCUGGGAACUGCAUUUGUGACUGCACAGCUUGAGUGCGGCAGAGGGGGAUGGAAUUCCGCGUGUAGCAGUGAAAUGCGUAGAUAUGCGGAGGAACACCGAUGGCGAAGGCAAUCCCCUGGGCCUGCACUGACGCUCAUGCACGAAAGCGUGGGGAGCAAACAGG
rnacentral:rRNA from 1 species